AAGUAAAAGUCGUAACAAGGUUUCCGUAGGUGAACCUGCGGAAGGAUCAUUACCUAGAGUUGUAGGCUUUGCCUGCUAUCUCUUACCCAUGUCUUUUGAGUACCUUACGUUUCCUCGGUGGGUUCGCCCACCGAUUGGACAAACUUAAACCCUUUGCAGUUGAAAUCAGCGUCUGAAAAAACUUAAUAGUUACAACUUUCAACAACGGAUCUCUUGGUUCUGGCAUCGAUGAAGAACGCAGCGAAAUGCGAUAAGUAGUGUGAAUUGCAGAAUUCAGUGAAUCAUCGAAUCUUUGAACGCACAUUGCGCCCCUUGGUAUUCCAUGGGGCAUGCCUGUUCGAGCGUCAUUUGUACCUUCAAGCUCUGCUUGGUGUUGGGUGUUUGUCUCCUGUAGACUCGCCUUAAAACAAUUGGCAGCCGGCGUAUUGAUUUCGGAGCGCAGUACAUCUCGCGCUUUGCACUCAUAACGACGACGUCCAAAAGUACAUUUUUACACUCUUGACCUCGGAUCAGGUAGGGAUACCCGCUGAACUUAAGCAUAUCAAUAA
rnacentral:misc_RNA from 1 species